rnacentral:lncRNA from 1 species
UGGAAGAUUAAAUUUAGUUGAAUUAGAUCAUGUAAUUCAAGACUGUUUGGAUUUGUUGUCUAAAUACAACUUCUAGAAUAUAUAUUUACUACUAUAAGGCAUCUAAUUUCAAUCAUAUACUAGUGUGGUUCAUCUUAGGAGAACUAUGAAUGCUGCUGCACAUGCCUUAGUUGGUAUAGCUUAGGCUUUAGAAGUUUAAACACAAAUUGCAAACCACCCCUAGAAAAACCAGUACACCAAUCACCGUAACAUAGUGGAAAAACCAGAUCUUUCCCAACGGCAAAAAAAACGCAGACAUUGCACAAACAUCUUCAAUUCCGCAUAACUGACGCGUACACAUUACUUCUGCAUCACCGACGAAUACAUAUUAUAGUAACGAUGGUCCUCUUGUUUUGGACUCAAUUAAACUACUCAGCCAUAAUAAUUAUAAUAAUAGUAAACAAAGCAAUAUUCAUUAUUUUCAUUAUACUGGUGCAGGAAACAAUUAAUUAAUAAAGUAGUAACAAUAAAACGCACGCACUGUAGCAGUAUUCACAAUUUGGNNNNNNNNNNCGAUCAAAUUAAUUUGAAACAAUAAUCAAUUGUAACAAGUAAACAAGGUAAACACGGUGCUGUAUCAAAAUAACAGGACGAUGAACAAUUUUGCAAAUUUAAUUUUCAAUUUUGCAAAUCAAUUUUUAACGUAAAUCAAUUUGCAAAAUAACAGGUCUUCUAACUUAAAUCAAUUUUGCAAAUUUAAUUUUCUCAGACAUCUAUAACGUAAGCAUAUAACAUAACCAUACCUUAAUAACCACGGUUUGAGUUGUGACGGCAGGACGAUGAACAAGUACGACUUCCAAAAAAUUGAAUUGUUGAGUAUAUGGUGGAGAGAAGAGGAUUUAUGGGUUAUGGGUUGGGCUCACAGUGAUUUCUGGGUUCUUGAAGAUUAGGGUUAACAGUUGGGUUCAUGCAAUUAGAUUGGAGGAAGAUGAACAGGAACAUUUUCUAUGGAUCGUGAAUAUUAAGGAUUUCUAUUGAAUUCGAUUUCCAAUAUUAGGGAUUUGAGGAUCGUGGAUUUGAGGAUCGUGGGUUAAGAUUUUUGCAAAGCAACUGAUCGCGGGAAAACAAAAUCCUUCACCGUGUAUACUGAAAUCUGAUCUUUGUUUUUAUUUUUAAUUUUUU